rnacentral:ncRNA from 1 species
UUAUGAUAGAGGCGCAGGUGCUAAGAGUAGCGCCGUCCGACGGUUUCGCAGACUAUGGGCGGUGUGAAAGGAGUAGCUGCCGAAGAGUGCGCGAGGCGAAAGCUCACUCUGGGAGUGCGGAGAAUAUCCGUACUACUGUCGCUGACGCGGAGAGCUAUGCGGAGAGCUAUCU